rnacentral:lncRNA from 1 species
CUUCGCAAAGGUGCCAAAAUAUCUUUGUCCAUCCAUUAGCUCAAUGACACAACCACCCCCAAACCUGGGAUCCUCGCUUGCCCAUGAGGCAUCAAUCUGGCAUUGAGCUCUUGGACUGUUACUCACAACAUUUUGGGAAAGAUCCGGCUCAUUAACACUUUCUUCUCCUACAUGAGAGGCAAUUUGUGCAACUUUCCAAAUUUCUGCUUCAUUGGUGGCAAUAUGCAGAGUGUCCAUGGGGGAGGUUUCUUUACUAUUAAAUACUUUGUCGUUUCUAACUUUCCAGAUAUACCAGAUUAUCCACGGGAAUGCAUCUAGGGAAUUCUCCAUUGUUCCUUCUUCCUUUGCGUGCCAAAGGAGAUGAUCAAAAUUUCUGUAUAAAGAAUCACACGGGAAUGAACCCGGACUAGACGGAAUCCCUGAUAAAGCCCAUGUCUGAACCGCUGGAAGACAUUCAAAGAGAAGAUGAUUGAUAGAUUCAACAUGUGCUCCACAUCUGGGACAGAAUCGAUCGGUUCUACAAUGACGAUUUGCAAGGUUGUUACUCACACUAACACAUCCGGACACUGCCUGCCAC